rnacentral:rRNA from 1 species
AUUGAACGCUGGCGGCAGGCCUAACACAUGCAAGUCGAGCGGAUGACGGGAGCUUGCUCCUUGAUUCAGCGGCGGACGGGUGAGUAAUGCCUAGGAAUCUGCCUGGUAGUGGGGGACAACGUUUCGAAAGGAACGCUAAUACCGCAUACGUCCUACGGGAGAAAGCAGGGGACCUUCGGGCCUUGCGCUAUCAGAUGAGCCUAGGUCGGAUUAGCUAGUUGGUGGGGUAAUGGCUCACCAAGGCGACGAUCCGUAACUGGUCUGAGAGGAUGAUCAGUCACACUGGAACUGAGACACGGUCCAGACUCCUACGGGAGGCAGCAGUGGGGAAUAUUGGACAAUGGGCGAAAGCCUGAUCCAGCCAUGCCGCGUGUGUGAAGAAGGUCUUCGGAUUGUAAAGCACUUUAAGUUGGGAGGAAGGGCAGUAAGUUAAUACCUUGCUGUUUUGACGUUACCGACAGAAUAAGCACCGGCUAACUUCGUGCCAGCCGCCGCCGUAA